UACGAAGGGGGCUAGCGUUGCUCGGAAUCACUGGGCGUAAAGCGCACGUAGGCGGUUUCUUAAGUCAGGGGUGAAAUCCUGGAGCUCAACUCCAGAACUGCCUUUGAUACUGGGAGACUUGGAGUCCGGGAGAGGUGAGUGGAACUGCGAGUGUAGAGGUGAAAUUCGUAGAUAUUCGCAAGAACACCAGUGGCGAAGGCGGCUCACUGGCCCGGUACUGACGCUGAGGUGCGAAAGCUAGGGGAGCGAACGGG
rnacentral:rRNA from 1 species